rnacentral:rRNA from 1 species
GAAUCUGGCUUCGGGUUCGGGACAACAGUGGGAAACUGCUGCUAAUACCGGAUGUGCCGCAAGGUAAAAGAUUAAUUGCCCGAAGAUGAGCUCGCGUCCGAUUAGCUAGUUGGUGUGGUAAGAGCGCACCAAGGCGUCGAUCGGUAGCUGGUCUGAGAGGACGAUCAGCCACACUGGGACUGAGACACGGCCCAGACUCCUACGGGAGGCAGCAGUGGGGAAUUUUCCGCAAUGGGCGAAAGCCUGACGGAGCAAUACCGCGUGAGGGAGGAAGGCUCUUGGGUUGUAAACCUCUUUUCUCAGGGAAGAACACAAUGACGGUACCUGAGGAAUCAGCAUCGGCUAACUCCGUGCCAGCAGCCGCGGUAAUACGGAGGAUGCAAGCGUUAUCCGGAAUUAUUGGGCGUAAAGCGUCCGUAGGUGGCUCGUCAAGUCUGCGGUCAAAGACCGGGGCUCAACCCUGGAAAGGCCGUGGAAACUGGUGAGCUAGAGUGCGGUAGGGGCAGAGGGAAUUCCCAGUGUAGCGGUGAAAUGCGUAGAGAUUGGGAAGAACACCGGUGGCGAAAGCGCUCUGCUGGGCCGCAACUGACACUAAUGGACGAAAGCUAGGGGAGCG